AGAGCGAACGUUAGCGGCGGGCCUAACACAUGCAAGUCGAACGAGAAUGUAGGCUUCGGUCUACUAGUAAAGUGGCGGACGGGUGCGUAACACGUGGGUAAUCUACCUUCCGGCGGGGGACAACAGUCCGAAAGGAUUGCUAAUACCGCAUACGUCAGCGGCGCCUACGGGCGCUGUUGGGAAAGAUGGCCUCUCCUUGGAAGCUGUCACCGGAAGAUGAGCCCGCGUCCCAUCAGCUAGUUGGUGAGGUAACGGCUCACCAAGGCGACGACGGGUA
rnacentral:rRNA from 1 species